rnacentral:tRNA from 1 species
GCGCCGAUCGUAUAGCGGCAAUUACACCGCGCUGUAAACGCGGCGACCAUUGGUCUACGGGGGUUCGAGUCCCUCUCGGCGCA